GAUGAACGCUGGCGGCGUGCCUAGUACAUGCAAGUCGAGCGAACAGACGAGGAGCUUGCUCCUCUGACGUUAGCGGCGGACGGGUGAGUAACACGUGGAUAACCUACCUAUAAGACUGGGAUAACUUCGGGAAACCGGAGCUAAUACCGGAUAAUAUAUUGAACCGCAUGGUUCAAUAGUUAAAGACGGUUUUGCUGUCACUUAUAGAUGGAUCCGCGCCGCAUUAGCUAGUUGGUAAGGUAACGGCUUACCAAGGCGACGAUGCGUAGCCGACCUGAGAGGGUGAUCGGCCACACUGGAACUGAGACACGGUCCAGACUCCUACGGGAGGCAGCAGUAGGGAAUCUUCCGCAAUGGGCGAAAGCUUGACGGAGCAACGCCGCGUGAGUGAUGAAGGUCUUCGGAUCGUAAAACUCUGUUAUUAGGGAAGAACAAAUGUGUAAGUAACUAUGCACGUCUUGACGGUACCUAAUCAGAAAGCCACGGCUAACUACGUG
rnacentral:rRNA from 1 species